UUCUCCUAACUCUUCCAUUCUUAUCUUCCUUAAGGCUGAACACUUGAGGAGUGGUGCUCCAUAGAGUGAAAAUGGGGCUGACAACAUUAUUGAGCCAAGGUUGCAGAGGAAGUUUCUUCUUCUUCUCCAUUUUUUUCUUCUCUCACGGAACUUCGAAAUCAAGAAUUGCGAUGACCAUACUUUAAUAUGCGAGCAGAUCAAGGGUAGAUGCUUGACAGUGUUGGGAAGGCAAGCUUUUGGCUGUGACUUAGUCAAGGAGUUAAUAUUUUGUUGUUCAUAUUAUGAUCGGCUGCCUAGUUGUUUUGAAUAGAAUAUCAUAUCAUACUCUGAGUUGUAUAUAUGUAUAUGGGAUUUAAAGUUGUUCGUUCUCAUUAUGUAUAUAGUUGUCGGGAUGUGAUAUUUUAUUUUAUGCAUGUAUCUGUAUGGUA